AUACGGAAGGUCCGGGCGUUAUCCGGAUUUAUUGGGUUUAAAGGGAGCGCAGGCGGAGAUGCAAGCGUGACGUCAAAUUUCGGGGCUCAACCCCGUCUCGCGUCGCGAACUGCGUCCCUUGGUUGCGGGAAGGGGAGGCGGAACUCGUGGGGUAGCGGUGAAAUGCAUAGAUAUCACGAAGAACUCCGAUCGCGAAGGCAGCCUUCCGGCCCGUCAACGACGCUCAUGCUCGAAGGUGCGGGUAUCAAACAGGAUUAGAUACCCUGGUAGUCCGCACAGUAAACGAUGGACACCCGCGGUUUGGCCUGUAUGGCUGAGCCGCCAAGCGAAAGCGUUAAGUGUCCCACCUGGGGAGUACGCCGGCAACGGUGAAACUCAGAGGAAUUGACGGGG
rnacentral:rRNA from 1 species